GACGAACUGUGCAAACGUUAUUCGGAAUCACUGGGCUUAAAGGGUGCGUAGGCGGUCUUGUAAGUAGGGUGUGAAAGCCCCCGGCUCAACCGGGGAACUGCGUCCUAAACUGCGAGGCUUGAGUGAGGUAGGGGUGUGUGGAACUUCCAGUGGAGCGGUGAAAUGUGUUGAUAUUGGAAGGAACGCCGGUGGCGAAAGCGACACACUGGACCUUGUCGUGACGCUGAGGCACGAAAGCCAGGGGAGCAACGGG
rnacentral:rRNA from 1 species